UACGUAGGGGGCAAGCGUUGUCCGGAAUUAUUGGGCGUAAAGCGCGCGCAGGCGGUCAUUUAAGUCUGGUGUAUAAACCAAGGGCUCAACCUUUGGACGCAUUGGAAACUGUGUGACUGGAGUGUAGGAGAGGAAAGUGGAAUUCCACGUGUAGCGGUGAAAUGCGUAGAUAUCGGGAGGAACACCAGUGGCGAAGGCGACUACCUGGCCUGUUCUUGACGCUGAGGCGCGAAAGCUAGGGGAGCAAACGGG
rnacentral:rRNA from 1 species